UUAAGCGACUAAGCGUACACGGUGGAUGCCCUGGCAGUCAGAGGCGAUGAAGGACGUGCUAAUCUGCGAUAAGCGUCGGUAAGGUGAUAUGAACCGUUAUAACCGGCGAUUUCCGAAUGGGGAAACCCAGUGUGUUUCGACACACUAUCAUUAACUGAAUCCAUAGGUUAAUGAGGCGAACCGGGGGAACUGAAACAUCUAAGUACCCCGAGGAAAAGAAAUCAACCGAGAUUCCCCCAGUAGCGGCGAGCGAACGGGGAGCAGCCCAGAGCCUGAAUCAGUGUGUGUGUUAGUGGAAGCGUCUGGAAAGGCGCGCGAUACAGGGUGACAGCCCCGUACACAAAAAUGCACAUGCUGUGAGCUCGAUGAGUAGGGCGGGACACGUGGUAUCCUGUCUGAAUAUGGGGGGACCAUCCUCCAAGGCUAAAUACUCCUGACUGACCGAUAGUGAACCAGUACCGUGAGGGAAAGGCGAAAAGAACCCCGGCGAGGGGAGUGAAAAAGAACCUGAAACCGUGUACGUACAAGCAGUGGGAGCACGCUUAGGCGUGUGACUGCGUACCUUUUGUAUAAUGGGUCAGCGACUUAUAUUCUGUAGCAAGGUUAACCGAAUAGGGGAGCCGAAGGGAAACCGAGUCUUAACUGGGCGUUAAGUUGCAGGGUAUAGACCCGAAACCCGGUGAUCUAGCCAUGGGCAGGUUGAAGGUUGGGUAACACUAACUGGAGGACCGAACCGACUAAUGUUGAAAAAUUAGCGGAUGACUUGUGGCUGGGGGUGAAAGGCCAAUCAAACCGGGAGAUAGCUGGUUCUCCCCGAAAGCUAUUUAGGUAGCGCCUCGUGAAUUCAUCUCCGGGGUAGAGCACUGUUUCGGCAAGGGGUCAUCCCGACUUACCAACCCGAUGCAAACUGCGAAUACCGGAGAAUGUUAUCACGGAGACACACGGCGGGUGCUAACGUCCGUCGUGAAGAGGGAAACAACCCAGACCGCCAGCUAAGGUCCCAAAGUCAUGGUUAAGGGAAACGAUGUGGGAAGGCCCAGACAGCCGUGAUGUUGGCUUAGAAGCAGCCAUCAUUUAGAAAGCGUAAUAGCUCACUGGUCGAGUCGGCCUGCGCGGAAGAUGUAACGGGGCUAAACCAUGCACCGAAGCUGCGGCAGCGACGCUUAUGCGUUGUUGGGUAGGGGAGCGUUCUGUAAGCCUGUGAAGGUGUGCUGUGAGGCAUGCUGGAGGUAUCAGAAGUGCGAAUGCUGACAUAAGUAACGAUAAAGCGGGUGAAAAGCCCGCUCGCCGGAAGACCAAGGGUUCCUGUCCAACGUUAAUCGGGGCAGGGUGAGUCGACCCCUAAGGCGAGGCCGAAAGGCGUAGUCGAUGGGAAACAGGUUAAUAUUCCUGUACUUGGUGUUACUGCGAAGGGGGGACGGAGAAGGCUAUGUUGGCCGGGCGACGGUUGUCCCGGUUUAAGCGUGUAGGCUGGUUUUCCAGGCAAAUCCGGAAAAUCAAGGCUGAGGCGUGAUGACGAGGCACUACGGUGCUGAAGCAACAAAUGCCCUGCUUCCAGGAAAAGCCUCUAAGCAUCAGGUAACAUCAAAUCGUACCCCAAACCGACACAGGUGGUCAGGUAGAGAAUACCAAGGCGCUUGAGAGAACUCGGGUGAAGGAACUAGGCAAAAUGGUGCCGUAACUUCGGGAGAAGGCACGCUGAUAUGUAGGUGAAGUCCCUCGCGGAUGGAGCUGAAAUCAGUCGAAGAUACCAGCUGGCUGCAACUGUUUAUUAAAAACACAGCACUGUGCAAACACGAAAGUGGACGUAUACGGUGUGACGCCUGCCCGGUGCCGGAAGGUUAAUUGAUGGGGUUAGCCGCAAGGCGAAGCUCUUGAUCGAAGCCCCGGUAAACGGCGGCCGUAACUAUAACGGUCCUAAGGUAGCGAAAUUCCUUGUCGGGUAAGUUCCGACCUGCACGAAUGGCGUAAUGAUGGCCAGGCUGUCUCCACCCGAGACUCAGUGAAAUUGAACUCGCUGUGAAGAUGCAGUGUACCCGCGGCAAGACGGAAAGACCCCGUGAACCUUUACUAUAGCUUGACACUGAACAUUGAGCCUUGAUGUGUAGGAUAGGUGGGAGGCUUAGAAGUGUGGACGCCAGUCUGCAUGGAGCCGACCUUGAAAUACCACCCUUUAAUGUUUGAUGUUCUAACGUUGACCCGUAAUCCGGGUUGCGGACAGUGUCUGGUGGGUAGUUUGACUGGGGCGGUCUCCUCCUAAAGAGUAACGGAGGAGCACGAAGGUUGGCUAAUCCUGGUCGGACAUCAGGAGGUUAGUGCAAUGGCAUAAGCCAGCUUGACUGCGAGCGUGACGGCGCGAGCAGGUGCGAAAGCAGGUCAUAGUGAUCCGGUGGUUCUGAAUGGAAGGGCCAUCGCUCAACGGAUAAAAGGUACUCCGGGGAUAACAGGCUGAUACCGCCCAAGAGUUCAUAUCGACGGCGGUGUUUGGCACCUCGAUGUCGGCUCAUCACAUCCUGGGGCUGAAGUAGGUCCCAAGGGUAUGGCUGUUCGCCAUUUAAAGUGGUACGCGAGCUGGGUUUAGAACGUCGUGAGACAGUUCGGUCCCUAUCUGCCGUGGGCGCUGGAGAACUGAGGGGGGCUGCUCCUAGUACGAGAGGACCGGAGUGGACGCAUCACUGGUGUUCGGGUUGUCAUGCCAAUGGCACUGCCCGGUAGCUAAAUGCGGAAGAGAUAAGUGCUGAAAGCAUCUAAGCACGAAACUUGCCCCGAGAUGAGUUCUCCCUGACUCCUUGAGAGUCCUGAAGGAACGUUGAAGACGACGACGUUGAUAGGCCGGGUGUGUAAGCGCAGCGAUGCGUUGAGCUAACCGGUACUAAUGAACCGUGAGGCUUAACCU
rnacentral:rRNA from 1 species